rnacentral:tRNA from 1 species
AGCUCAGAGGUAGAGCGCAGGACUCAUAGCCAUCGUGAGGCUGUGAGUGCUGAUAAAAGAUGAUGUGGGAAAUCCUGAGGCCGCGGGUUCGACCCCCGC